GGACCAAGGAGUCCAGCGAACGAGCGUGACUCAAAGGUUUAUUUUAUUAGAAUCCGUCAAACUUAACGAAAGCAAUCGAGAGUCGUCGUAUACCGCGGCUCGUGUGUUUGUAUGAUGAGACGUACUACUACGUAUAUGCGUGUAUGUCGUCUAGGCAAAUCGGAGAUGGCAAUUAUGCGUUAGCAAUAGCACUGCCGUACUCGUAGCUCGUGCUCUGGAACCCGAAAGAUGGUGAACUAUGCAUGGAAAGGAUGAAGCCAGGGGAAACUCUGGUGGAGGUCCGCAAUGGUUCUGACGUGCAAAUCGAUCAUCAGAACUAUGUAUAGGGGCGAAAGACCAAUCGAAUCAUCUAGUAGCUGGUUCCUUUCGAAGUUUCCCUAAGGAUAGCUGAGGUCUAGUAACAAUAGUCACAUGCGGUAAAGCGAAUGAUUAGAGUCGUUGGGUUCGAAACGUUCUCAACCUAUUCUCAAACUGUUAAUGUGUGUGUUUUCCAUUAGCUAGCAGCAGCGUAGCAAAUGGAUAGAUAGUAAAGGCCUUCAGUGGGCCAUUUUUGGUAAGCAGAACUGGCGAUGCGGGAUGAACCGGUCGUAAAGUUAUAGUGCCAAAAUCAACGCAUAUCGGACCCCACAAAAGGCGUUAGUAACUAAAGACAGCAGAACGGUGGCCAUGGAAGUCGGC
rnacentral:rRNA from 1 species